CCUACGGGAGGCAGCAGUGAGGAAUAUUGGUCAAUGGGCGGAAGCCUGAACCAGCCAAGUCGCGUGAGGGAUUAAGGCCCUGCGGGUCGUAAACCUCUUUUGCCGGGGAGCAGAGGUCGGGACGGGUCCGGGCCGGGAGAGUACCCGGAGAAAAAGCAUCGGCUAACUCCGUGCCAGCAGCCGCGGUAAUACGGAGGAUGCGAGCGUUAGCCGGAUUUAUUGGGUUUAAAGGGUGCGUAGGCGGGCAUUUAAGCCGGCGGUCAAAUGUCGGGGCUCAACCCCGGCCUGCCGUCGGAACUGGGUGCCUUGAGUGGGCGAGAAGUAUGCGGAAUGCGUGGUGUAGCGGUGAAAUACAUAGAUAUCACGCAGAACCCCGAUUGCGAAGGCAGCAUACCGGCGCCCUACUGACGCUGAGGCACGAAAGUGCGGGUAUCGAACAGGAUUAGAUACCCCAGUAGUC
rnacentral:rRNA from 1 species